CAAUGAGACGAAGGGGCAGCCAACCCGCUCCCCCCUCCCCCCCACAGCUGGCAGGGAGAAGAGACAGUGCGAGCCUGCUAGGGCAUGCCACGCCCUAGGUCACGGGAGGCGAGCGGGUGCGGUGCGGUGGAGCAGGGCUCGCCCUGCAGAUGGGGAGAGGCUGUCCCCGAGCUGCGGAAAAUUGCUUGGGAGUGCAGCCGGCACGUUAGGCUGCUAACGGGCACGGGGAGGGUUUGCAGUGGAAGGGCAGGAAGGUUGUCAGAGUGCAGAUCUGUGCCAGAAACUGGUGCAGAGAGAGAGAGAGCGAGCGAUGACUCAACGCAAUAGGAGCCAAAAGCUGUUUUUCCCCUUGCUGUCUAGCAAAAGCGGCAGCAGGGAGCUCUUUUCUGGACCUGCAAAGAAACUGACUUCCUCCUUGGAUUGUAUGCAGUGUAGUUGUAGCCAGGAGUGGAGAGAAAGGGGAUAGACCCAGAUUCUGCAUUUAGAUCUGCUAGCAGAGACCCCUGUGCAUGUGCAGAAUCCUGUUGACUUCAGCAGGACUCUCCAGCAGUGGAUCCAAAUAUUAGAGCCAUGGAGUAGCUGCGACACUUCAAUCAGUAUAUACACCCAGGAUUUUUAAGGAAUGUACUCUGAUUCUGAACACCACAAAAAUGUCUUCAAAUUCCUUCUUGAGACCAAGUUUUUUACACAGCUUCAUAAAUGAUCCCUGAGUUCCCUUUAAAAAAAGUGUAAUCUUUUCUUCUGUAUGUUGUCCUUUUAUGAUCCCAUUGUAUUGAGGAGUGACGGAGGGCAGGGCAUUAGGAGUAAAAUAACAAAUAAACAUGCAUCAGAAUUGGCAAGCUCUGUUUCAGCAAAAUGUUUAAAAGUUCACUGUAUAAACUCUACACAAUGGGAUUAAAAGGAAGCAUUGACUCAGCAUACAAGAACUAUUGUCAUAUUGUCAGGCUAAAAUGAAUCACUCAGUGAUGGAUAGAUUCAAUCUCACUAUACUCUGAUCUUGCCAUAUAUUUGUCACUCUUCAAUUACAUUUUUAAUUUAUAUUUUAUGUAAGAAUUAAUCAAGCUGUUGAGAGACACUCACACUGUGUUUUGGUAUAGAAAAUAAAUGGUUUUAAUGAAUCAUUUAAUGCUUUUAAUCCAUUGCCUCCUUAUCCAUCAUCUUCCCUGUUCCUAUUAGAUCAAGGACAAGCUUUAUUACUUUAGUUUACAGUAUAAUUAGCACAUUAUCUUCUCUCCAGUUCCUAACAUUCCCCCAUUGAG